AGGCUGCGGCUGCUACACAUGCAGUUGACGAACUUAUAUUAUAAAUAUAAGUUAAGUAGCGGACGGGUGAGUAACAUGUAAGAACCUACCUUUAGGAGGGGGAUAACCGCUGGAAACGGCGGCUAAAGCCCCAUAAACUGCGGAGUAAAAGGUGAAAACUACCUAAAGAUGGGCUUGCAUCUGAUUAGCUUGUUGGUGAAUUAACUGUUUACCAAGGCGAUGAUCAGUAGUUGGUCUAAGAGGAUGAUCAACCACACUGGGACUGAGACACGGCCCAGACCUCUACGGAGGGCAGCAGUGAGGAAUUUUCCGCAAUGGGCGCAAGCCUGACGGAGCAAUGCCGCGUGGAUGAUGAAGGCUUUUGAGUCGUAAAGUCCUUUUCUUAGUAAAGAAGAUAGACGGUAGCUAAGGAAUAAGCAUCGGCUAAUUCCGUGCCAGCAGCCGCGGUAAUACGGAAGAUGCAAGCGUUAUUCGGAAUUAUUGGGCGUAAAGCGUCUGUAGGUGGCUUUUUAAGUCUGCUGUUAAAUCUCAAGGCUUAACCUUGAAAAAGCAGUACGAAACUAAAAAGCUCGAGUUUAGUAGAAGUAAAGGGAAUUCUCGGUGUAGUGGUGAAAUGCGUAGAUAUCGGGAAGAACACCUGUGGCGAAAGCGCUUUACUGGGCUAAAACUGACACUGAGAGACGAAAGCUAGGGGAGCAAAUAGGAUUAGAUACCCUAGUAGUCCUAGCUGUAAACGAUGGAUACUAAGUGUUGGACAAAAAAAAGUUCAGUGCUGUAGCUAACGCGUUAAGUAUCCCGCCUGGGAAGUAUGCUCGCA
rnacentral:rRNA from 1 species